rnacentral:misc_RNA from 1 species
AAGUCGUAACAAGGUUUCCGUAGGUGAACCUGCGGAAGGAUCAUUAUUGAAUGAAUCUAGAGUUUGGUUGUCGCUGGCCCCCCCACAAUAAAGGGGGGGGGCAUGUGCACACCUUCUCUUUUCAUCCACACACACCUGUGCACUUGUGAGACGGAGGAUUUUCAGUCCUCCGUCUACUAAUCACACAAACUCAUUAUGACUUGAACUGAAUGUAAUUGAUGUAACACAUCAUUGGAACUAAGUUUCAACAACGGAUCUCUUGGCUCUC